ensembl:lncRNA
GAAGAGCAGAAAUGUCAACUAGCAAGCAAGUCACAGUAACGAGGAACGCGAAGGGGGAAUUCUGGCAGAGGGGAGAUUUUCGAGACAACACCUGUGCAGAAGCAAAGGCUACGUAUGUAUUACAGGCUAAUAUAGUUGUGUAUGGCAGUCCAGACGGCAGCAUCAAGCUUGGCUUUGUAUUUGUAUCCAUUCCAUGCAGGUAUGUUGUGAAAUGUGACUAUUUGAUAUGUAAUGUUUAAUGUGCUAAUUAGUUAGCUGUUGUUAAUUUUGUUACUUGUCUAGACAUGUCAAAAUGGCGUUGUUGCCUCAUUAGUAUACCUCAGGUACAAUAGUACACUAAGAAAUAUUUAGCAUUUAUUAGCGAAUUAUUUCUGUAUAACAUUUAUAAAACGAAAUGAGUCUUUUGAAAAUAUGAACAUGUACAUUUUGUACAAUGCAUUUUUAGUUGUUGACGUGAGUUAGCUCAGAGCGUGAUGAAGAGAGGCUAAUAUAGUUGUGUUUGGGAGUCCAGACAGCAGCACCAACCUUUGUCUUGUAAUUGUAUCCAUUCCAUGCAGUCACUAAAAGAGACAACCGGCAGAAUUGUGUCCAGAGACUUGUCUUCCACCUACACCUCACCAGAACACAACGCAGAAAGGGGGUGAUACCAGAACAGUGAGAAUCUAUACAUCGACGGAGGGUGGACUCCAAGAAGCGCCAAGAGGCAGGGACCCGCCUGCGAUAGGCUGAGCAAGUCUAAACCACACUCAGCCUCUACUGUGAUAGGCCAACAGACGGGUUGGAACUAUGUCUAUCACAGUAUAUGAACAGCUGUUUCCUUAUAUCCUGUCAGUUCCCUGUUCUGCCCUGCGUGGUAUUACAGUGAGCCCGUAUAUACGAAAGUUGCAUUUGCCAUUUAUUGCUUAGCUAAUAAAAGUACAUAGAGUACAAUCAGUGACUCAGUGUUAUAACUUGUUCUGAUACCAGAUUCGAAUUGACGCAACCCUAACACACUCGUUCUAGUUCUCUAGUCGCUCUCUUUACCAUUUCCCUCUCUGCUGUUUCUCUCAGUCUAGUUCUCUAGUCGCUCUCUUUACCAUUUCCCUCUCUGCUGUUUCUCUCGUUCUAGUUCUCUAGUCGCUCUCUUUACCAUUUCCCUCUCUGCUGUUUCUCUCAUUCUAGUUCUCUAGUCGCUCUCUUUACCAUUUCCCUCUCUGCUG